rnacentral:rRNA from 1 species
UGAGGAAUAUUGGUCAAUGGUCGGCAGACUGAACCAGUCAAGUCGCGUGAGGGAAGACGGCCCUACGGGUUGUAAACCUCUUUUGUCGGAGAGUAAAGUACGCUACGUGUAGCGUAUUGCAAGUAUCCGAAGAAAAAGCAUCGGCUAACUCCGUGCCAGCAGCCGCGGUAAUACGGAGGAUGCGAGCGUUAUCCGGAUUUAUUGGGUUUAAAGGGUGCGUAGGCGGCACGCCAAGUCAGCGGUGAAAUUUUCGGGCUCAACCCGGACUGUGCCGUUGAAACUGGCGAGCUAGAGUGCACAAGAGGCAGGCGGAAUGCGUGGUGUAGCGGUGAAAUGCAUAGAUAUCACGCAGAACCCCGAUUGCGAAGGCAGCCUGCUAGGGUGCGACAGACGCUGAGGCACGAAAGCGUGGGUAUCGAACAGGAUUAGAUACCCUGGUAGUCCACGCAGUAAACGAUGAAUACUAACUGUUUGCGAUACAAUGUAAGCGGUACAGCGAAAGCGUUAAGUAUUCCACCUGGGGAGUACGCCGGCAACGGUGAAACUCAAAGGAAUUGACGGGGGCCCGCACAAGCGGAGGAACAUGUGGUUUAAUUCGAUGAUACGCGAGGAACCUUACCCGGGCUCAAACGCAGGGGGAAUAUAUAUGAAAGUAUAUAGCUAGCAAUAGUCACCUGCGAGGUGCUGCAUGGUUGUCGUCAGCUCGUGCCGUGAGGUGUCGGCUUAAGUGCCAUAACGAGCGCAACCCCUAUCGACAGUUACUAACGGGUCAAGCCGAGGACUCUGUCGAGACUGCCGGCGCAAGCCGCGAGGAAGGUGGGGAUGACGUCAAAUCAGCACGGCCCUUACGUCCGGGGCGACACACGUGUUACAAUGGCAGGUACAGAAGGCAGCCAGUCAGCAAUGACGCGCGAAUCCCGAAAACCUGUCUCAGUUCGGAUUGGAGUCUGCAACCCGACUCCAUGAAGCUGGAUUCGCUAGUAAUCGCGCAUCAGCCAUGGCGCGGUGAAUACGUUCCC